GCCCGCCGGUCGCAGAGCUGUCAGCAAGCUCCAAACCGCGGCUGCCGCCCGGAGGGAAGCAGACGGGGAGUCGGUGGCGGCCGCCGAGUCCGCAUGCGCAGGCUGCAAAGGCCCUUUUGGGCCGGUCCCGCCGCGCUAGGUUGGCGAGUGGGACUAUUUGAUCCUUUCCAGGUUCGCCAGCGUGGUGUUACGAGAGGAAAGCGCAGCCGCAGCGUACGAAUGGGAAGGCCAAACACGGUCCCGGGGAGUCUGAGGGAAGCUGCAGGGCGCCUGGAAUUGGGGUCUCGAGUGAGCCGGUAAAAACCGCCUCCCGCUGAGCGUCCCGGAACAAAUACUGUCUGAACUGAGCCGUAAGCAAGAAACGGUCAGGAGAAGCUGGGGCGAUCUGAUGAUUAGAACAUUUCAGGGACUACCAGAGAGAAGUGCGUAAUUGCUCUAAGGCAGCUUUCUGCCAUGUGAGGACGCUACCAGAAGGCCCUCAUCAGAAACUCAAACCUGCAAGAGCCUUGAUCUUGGACUUCCCAGCCCCCAGAAGUAUGAGAAAAU
rnacentral:lncRNA from 10 species